rnacentral:rRNA from 2 species
GAGUUUGAUCGUGGCUCAGAUUGAACGCUGGCGGCAUGCCUUACACAUGCAAGUCGAACGGCAGCACGGGAGCUUGCUCCUGGUGGCGAGUGGCGAACGGGUGAGUAAUGCAUCGGAACGUAUCCUGGAGUGGGGGAUAACGUAGCGAAAGUUACGCUAAUACCGCAUAUUCUGUGAGCAGGAAAGCGGGGGACCUUCGGGCCUCGCGCUCUUGGAGCGGCCGAUGUCGGAUUAGCUAGUUGGUGAGGUAAAGGCUCACCAAGGCGACGAUCCGUAGCAGGUCUGAGAGGAUGAUCUGCCACACUGGAACUGAGACACGGUCCAGACUCCUACGGGAGGCAGCAGUGGGAAUUUUGGACAAUGGGGGCAACCCUGAUCCAGCCAUGCCGCGUGAGUGAAG